GAUGAACGCUGGCGGCGUGCCUAAUACAUGCAAGUCGAGCGAACAGACGAGGAGCUUGCUCCUCUGACGUUAGCGGCGGACGGGUUAGUAACACGUGGAUAACCUACCUAUAAGACUGGGAUAACUUCGGGAAACCGGAGCUAAUACCGGAUAAUAUAUUGAACCGCAUGGUUCAAUAGUGAACGACGGUUUUGCUGUCACUUAUAGAUGGAUCCGCGCCGCAUUAGCUAGUUGGUAAGGUAACGGCUUACCAAGGCAACGAUGCGUAGCCGACCUGAGAGGGUGAUCGGCCACACUGGAACUGAGACACGGUCCAGACUCCUACGGGAGGCAGCAGUAGGGAAUCUUCCGCAAUGGGCGAAAGCUUGACGGAGCAACGCCGCGUGAGUGAUGAAGGUCUUCGGAUCGUAAAACUCUGUUAUUAGGGAAGAACAAAUGUGUAAGUAACUAUGCACGUCUUGACGGUACCUAAUCAGAAAGCCACGGCUAACUACGUG
rnacentral:rRNA from 1 species